GCCUGAAAACUACAAGCGUAAGCUCAAAACUCAAAGGGUCUGGCGGCACUUUAAACUAUCUAGAGGAGCCUGUUCUGUAACUGAUAACCCCCGUUAAACCUCACCUUUUUUAGCUAUCAGCCUGUAUACCGCCGUCGUCAGCUUACCCCCUAAAGGCCACAUAGUAAGCAAAACUGGUUUAACCCAAAACGUCAGGUCGAGGUGCAGCUUAUAAAAAGGGAAGCAAUGGGCUACAUUUCCUAGGGUUCGGAUAGUGCAUUGAAACAUGCACAAUGAAGUAGGAUUUAGUAGUAAGUAAAAAAUAGAGUGUUUUACUGAAAAAGGUCUUAAAGUGCGUAC
rnacentral:rRNA from 1 species